AACGAACGCUGGCGGCAUGCCUAACACAUGCAAGUCGAACGAGACCUUCGGGUCUAGUGGCGCACGGGUUCGUAACGCGUGGGAACCUGCCCUUAGGUUCGGAAUAACUCCCCGAAAGGGGUGCUAAUACCGGAUAAUGUCUUCGGACCAAAGAUUUAUCGCCUUUGGAUGGGCCCGCGUUGGAUUAGCUAGUUGUUAGGGUAAAAGCCUACCACGGCGACGAUCCAUAGCUGGUCUGAGAGGAUGAUCAGCCACACUGGGACUGAGACACGGCCCAGACGCCUACGGGAGGCAGCAGUGGGGAAUAUUGGGCAAUGGGCGAAAGCCGGAUCCAGCAAUGCGGCGUGAAUGAUGAAGGCCUGAGGGUUGUAAAGCUCUUGUACCCGGGAUGAUAAUGACAGUACCGGGAGAAUAAGCUCCGGCUAACUCCGUG
rnacentral:rRNA from 1 species